rnacentral:rRNA from 1 species
AGCGAACGCUGGCGGCAGGCUUAACACAUGCAAGUCGAGCGGGCACUUCGGUGUCAGCGGCAGACGGGUGAGUAACACGUGGGAACGUACCCUUCGGUUCGGAAUAACGCUGGGAAACUAGCGCUAAUACCGGAUACGCCCUUUUGGGGAAAGGUUUACUGCCGAAGGAUCGGCCCGCGUCUGAUUAGCUAGUUGGUGGGGUAAUGGCCUACCAAGGCGACGAUCAGUAGCUGGUCUGAGAGGAUGAUCAGCCACACUGGGACUGAGACACGGCCCAGACUCCUACGGGAGGCAGCAGUGGGGAAUAUUGGACAAUGGGCGCAAGCCAGAUCCAGCCAUGCCGCGUGAGUGAUGAAGGCCUUAGGGUUGUAAAGCUCUUUUGUCCGGGACGAUAAUGACGGUACCGGAAGAAUAAGCCCCGGCUAACUUCGUG